CCGUACACAAAAGCGCAUGUGCUGUGAGCUCGAUGAGUAGGGCGGGACACGUGGUAUCCUGUCUGAAUAUGGGGGGACCAUCCUCCAAGGCUAAAUACUCCUGACUGACCGAUAGUGAACCAGUACCGUGAGGGAAAGGCGAAAAGAACCCCGGCGAGGGGAGUGAAAAAGAACCUGAAACCGUGUACGUACAAGCAGUGGGAGCACAGGUUUACCUGUGUGACUGCGUACCUUUUGUAUAAUGGGUCAGCGACUUAUAUUCUGUAGCAAGGUUAACCGUAUAGGGGAGCCGGAGGGAAACCGAGUCUUAAUUGGGCGUUAAGUUGCAGGGUAUAGACCCGAAACCCGGUGAUCUAGCCAUGGGCAGGUUGAAGGUUGGGUAACACUAACUGGAGGACCGAACCGACUAAUGUUGAAAAAUUAGCGGAUGACCUGUGGCUGGGGGUGAAAGGCCAAUCAAACCGGGAGAUAGCUGGUUCUCCCCGAAAGCUAUUUAGGUAGCGCCUCGUGAAUUCAUCUCCGGGGGUAGAGCACUGUUUCGGCUAGGGGGCCAUCCCGGCUUACCAACCCGAUGCAAACUGCGAAUACCGGAGAAUGUUAUCACGGGAGACACACGGCGGGUGCUAACGUCCGUCGUGAAGAGGGAAACAACCCAGACCGCCAGCUAAGGUCCCAAAGUCAUGGUUAAGUGGGAAACGAUGUGGGAAGGCCCAGACAGCCAGGAUGUUGGCUUAGAAGCAGCCAUCAUUUAAAGAAAGCGUAAUAGCUCACUGGUCGAGUCGGCCUGCGCGGAAGAUGUAACGGGGCUAAACCAUGCACCGAAGCUGCGGCAGCGAACGUAUCACCCAAGACAACUUUACGGAGUUGACGAUUGACGGAGCGAAGCGACGUCAAAGCGUUCAUUAAAGUCGAGUUGGCUUAGGGAUACGUUCGUUGGGUAGGGGAGCGUUCUGUAAGCCUGUGAAGGUGUGUCGUGAGGCAUGCUGGAGGUAUCAGAAGUGCGAAUGCUGACAUAAGUAACGAUAAAGCGGGUGAAAAGCCCGCUCGCCGGAAGACCAAGGGUUCCUGUCCAACGUUAAUCGGGGCAGGGUGAGUCGACCCCUAAGGCGAGGCCGAAAGGCGUAGUCGAUGGGAAACGGGUUAAUAUUCCCGUACUUGGUGUUACUGCGAAGGGGGGACGGAGAAGGCUAUGUUGGCCGGGCGACGGUUGUCCCGGUUUAAGCGUGUAGGUGUGUGUUCCAGGUAAAUCCGGUUCACUUUAACACUGAGGCGUGACGACGAGGCACUACGGUGCUGAAGCAACAAAUGCCCUGCUUCCAGGAAAAGCCUCUAAGCAUCAGGUAACAC
rnacentral:rRNA from 1 species